GAUGAACGCUGGCGGCGUGCCUAAUACAUGCAAGUCGAGCGAACGGACGAGAAGCUUGCUUCUCUGAUGUUAGCGGCGGACGGGUGAGUAACACGUGGAUAACCUACCUAUAAGACUGGGAUAACUUCGGGAAACCGGAGCUAAUACCGGAUAAUAUUUUGAACCGCAUGGUUCAAAAGUAAAAGACGGUCUUGCUGUCACUUAUAGAUGGAUCCGCGCUGCAUUAGCUAGUUGGUAAGGUAACGGCUUACCAAGGCAACGAUGCAUAGCCGACCUGAGAGGGUGAUCGGCCACACUGGAACUGAGACACGGUCCAGACUCCUACGGGAGGCAGCAGUAGGGAAUCUUCCGCAAUGGGCGAAAGCCUGACGGAGCAACGCCGCGUGAGUGAUGAAGGUCUGCGGAUCGUAAAACUCUGUUAUUAGGGAAGAACAUAUGUGUAAGUAACUGUGCACAUCUUGACGGUACCUAAUCAGAAAGCCACGGCUAACUACGU
rnacentral:rRNA from 1 species